rnacentral:rRNA from 1 species
UACGUAGGGGGCAAGCGUUGUCCGGAAUUAUUGGGCGUAAAGAGCUCGUAGGCGGUUCGGUAAGUCGGGUGUGAAAACUCUGGGCUCAACCCAGAGCCGCCACCCGAUACUGCUGUGACUCGAGUGCGGUAGGGGAGCGGGGAAUUCCUGGUGUAGCGGUGAAAUGCGCAGAUAUCAGGAGGAACACCAGUGGCGAAGGCGCCGCUCUGGGCCGUGACUGACGCUGAGGAGCGAAAGCGUGGGUAGCAAACAGG